UUAACUGCUCCUGAACUGGGUUCAAAGUUACCAAACAGCCCAGCCAGAAGAAGCAAAAGGGCACUUUAGACCAUGGCACAAGCAAUCAAUUGCACCCACCCUUAUCAAGGACUCCUCCCUCACCCCUCUCUUUUUUUUAAUGUUCCUCUUUCCCUCCCUCCUCCUGCCUCCAUUGGCAUAGACUGCACAAUAGUUUUAUCACCCCUCCCCCCGUUAAGAAACAUUCAUUCUUUCUUAGUCUUCGCUUCCCUUCUUCCCCUUCGUGUUCCCCUCUUUCUCUUCCCUCCCUUCCCCUCCCUUCCCCUCCCUUCCCCUCCCUUUCUCUCUCUUCUCUCUCUCUCUCUCUCUCUCUCUCUCUCUCUCUCUCUCUCUCUCUCUCUCUCCUUCUGGAGUGUGUGUGUGUGUGUGUGUGUGUGUGUGUGUGUGUGUGAGUGUGUGUGUGUGUGUGUCCUUCUGGAGAUGCAGUUACAGGCGUCUGUAAGCGUGUGUGCCCCUCAUCCCCGGAACUGAACUCCGGUCCUCAAAAACAGCAGCCGGUACCCUUAACUGUUGUCAUUCAUUGGCAGUGGUAGAAAGUUCUGGAACUUAAUCAGUGGUGACCAUGCUUCAGCCUCUGGAAGACCUGGACUCCAAGCACCUGAUUUUAUGAAAAGCUGUCUAGGAGGUAGGCCCUGGCCUCCUCCAGUGUGGCUGUGGUGACCCUCCCUGCAGCUGUGAUCCCCCCACCCUGCAGCUGUGGUCCUCCCCUGCAGCUGAGUUGUUCCCCCUGCAGCUGUGAUCCCCCCACCCUGCAGCUGUGGUCCUCCCCUGCAGCUGAGUUGUUCCCCCUGCAGCUGUGAUCCUCCCUGCAGCUGUGAUCCCACUUGCAGCUGUGGUCCUCCCCUGCAGCUGUGAUGUUCCUCCUGCAGCUGUGAUCCCCCCACCCUGCAGCUGUGGUCCUCCCCUGCAGCUGAGUUGUUCCCCCUGCAGCUGUGAUCCUCCCUGCAGCUGUGAUCCCACUUGCAGCUGUGGUCCUCCCCUGCAGCUGUGAUCCCACUUGCAGCUGUGGUCCUCCCCUGCAGCUGUGAUGUUCCUCCUGCAGCUGUGAUCCCCCCACCCUGCAGCUGUGGUCCUCCCCUGCAGCUGAGUUGUUCCCCCUGCAGCUGUGAUCCUCCCUGCAGCUGUGAUCCCACUUGCAGCUGUGGUCCUCCCCUGCAGCUGUGAUCCCACUUGCAGCUGUGGUCCUCCCCUGCAGCUGUGAUGUUCCUCCUGCAGCUGUGAUCCCCCCACCCUGCAGCUGUGGUCCUCCCCUGCAGCUGAGUUGUUCCCCCUGCAGCUGUGGUCCUCUCCCUGAAGCUCUCCCAAGGCGACUCUGGCUAUCUCAGUGCAGCAGCAGGAAGAAAUGGCACAGAGUUGCUGUGGUGGUGGGCGUUGUGUCGUUCCCCUGAAGGGAGGGGAGGUGUGAAGUACAGCUGACUGGGGACGAUGAACAAAUCAUGAAAACUCAGACUUGUGGCCACAUCACAGCUCAUCUGAGUGUAAAGUCAGAAAUAUAACGGGACUGCAAUUAUA